rnacentral:rRNA from 1 species
GAUGAACGCUGGCGGCGUGCCUAAUACAUGCAAGUCGAACGGACAGGCCCGGCUCUUGCUGGGCUGACGUUAGCGGAACGGGGGUGUAACACGCGUGUAAACCCCCCCUGUCUUUGUGAUAACACUAGGAGAAUGGGGCUCUGAUCGGGUAUGAUCUACUGAUGCAUAUUGGGGGUUGGUAAGAUUCGGCGGUUCGGGAUGGACUCGAGGCUUAUCCGCUUGUUUGGCUGGUAGGUGCUUACCAAGGCUUUGACGGGUAGCCGGCCUGAGAGGGUGACCGGCCACAUGGGGACUGAGAUACGGCCCAGACGCCUACGGGAGGCAGCAGUGGAGAAUAUUGCACAAUGGGCGGAAGCCUGAUGCAGCAACGCCGCGUGCGGGAUGACGGCCUUCGAGUUGUAAACCGCUUUCGCCUGUGACGAAGCGUGAGUGACGGUAAUGGGUAAAGAAGCACCGGCUAACUACGUG